CUUCAAGUGCUGGUUCAGCACUUGCCCUGAUAUUACUCAACAUUUCUUAAAAUUCUUUAAGUAAUUGAUUAGGAAUUAUUAAAAAUUACUUAAUGUGCAUGGAGGUAUAUAUCAAAUGUUUUUCUUUAAGGGGAGGGUCUAAGCCAUUAAGCAUGUGAUUCCUGGAUUCAUGGAGAGACAAGUAAUGUAAAGAACUGUUCCCCAAAACUCUCAAUGUGUCAACUGACCCAUAUGAGGGAAAAAUAUCUCGGUACCACUAUCAUAAGAAUGUGUGUGUGUGUUUUUUUAUUCUUAGAGGGGAAACUCUACUGUUUGACAGUGAGCUGAAAGAAAUUAACUCCCUGACCAGACAAAAGAAGCAACUAUUUCUGACUGCCUAUGUAAUUGGAUGUUUAUUUUAAAUAAGAUGUUCCUGUUCUUUUGAAUGUGAAUGGCAGCUGCACUAACCUGCAGGAAGAGUAGUUUUUUAGAGCUCAGACUGAGCUGCUUUAUGUUAGUGAUGUCAUUCUUUCCCCUGCUUUUUAAAUUCUCUUUCCUAAUUAAAAUAAAACAAGCCUGUCUUCAGUUGGAAAUUACCAGAAAUUUUAGAUUGUUGCUUUUAGGGCAUUUAUUUUGACACUGCUCAAUGGCAUUUAUGUACUGGAAUACCUAACUAUCUAAAGAUCCAGGUACUGUCCCUUUUGGACAUAUCACAUUGUGCUAAGCACAUUUGGACAUAGGUGAUGUGGUUGCAUACUGUACAUGACCAUGUUCCUAGAGCUAUUAAUUCAGCCCAGUGCAGCAAAGGAAGAAACAAUGUAAGCAGGAGUUAAACAUCAUUCUCAUAAAGGAAAGAACACAAUGUUUUACUGUGAUCUACUGGCUUCUUGCUUUUAAUGUACAACGGACCAAUUAGCUCCUUCAAAAAAUGUCUGAUAGUUAAGACACAGGCAUUUUUGUGUGUCUGUCAUAUUUCAGAGAAUAGAAGAUGCUGAUUAAAUAG